GUGAGGAAUAUUGGUCAAUGGGCGGGAGCCUGAACCAGCCAAGUAGCGUGAAGGAAGAAGGAUCUAUGGUUCGUAAACUUCUUUUGCAGGGGAAUAAAGUGCAGGACGUGUCCUGUUUUGUAUGUACCCUGAGAAUAAGGAUCGGCUAACUCCGUGCCAGCAGCCGCGGUAAUACGGAGGAUCCGAGCGUUAUCCGGAGUUAUUGGGUUUAAAGGGUGCGUAGGUGGUUUGAUAAGUCAGCGGUGAAAGUUUGCAGCUUAACUGUAAAAAUGCCGUUGAAACUGUCGGACUUGAGUGUAAAUGAGGUAGGCGGAAUGCGUGGUGUAGCGGUGAAAUGCAUAGAUAUCACGCAGAACUCCGAUUGCGAAGGCAGCUUACUAAGCUACAACUGACACUGAAGCACGAAAGCGUGGGGAUCAAACAGGAUUAGAUACCCGUGUAGUCC
rnacentral:rRNA from 1 species